AGAUGCCACAUCACACCACACUCUCUCUCUCUCUCUCUCUCUCUCUCUCUCUCUUCCUCACUCUCUGUCUGCUCUCUCAUUCGCUCCGCCGGCUUGUCGCUGGCUGUCAGUUCAUUUGCCGCGGCAGAGCAACAACUGGCUUCUUUCAGCGCUGGGAGCAGAGAGGGGAAGGCGAGAACGGCGGGACGAGUGCAAGAAGAAGAAAAAAGAAGUGAAGGAGGACGAGAAGAGGAGAAAAAAGGAGAUCUUUUGUUAAGCAUCCUUCCCUCCCCUUCAUCCCUCUCUGGCAGCAGCAGCAUCAGCACCACUGCCUCCACCGCCGCUCCCGCUGCUGGAUCCUCCGUCCCCUGCCGGGAUCUGCCUCCUCCUUCUCCUCAGGGAGCUCUUCCUGGAACUGGGAGGGGGAGGGAGAUCAGCACCUCCCAGCUUGCCGCGGACCCUCGGCAAAGGCAUCAGGAGGAAUGGAAGGGGAGGGUAUUUUAGAAGAGGCCGUCAGGAGAGCAGAGGAGAGGCAACACCCUGGUUUACAGGAGAGCCGAGAGGAGAAGAAUCAAAGAGGAUGUCAUUAUGCCCUGGUAGGGCCACACAGGAGCAUCGACAGCAGCGGGGAAACCAAAUGUCACCGCUGGAUGAGAACUUCCAGAGGACAGGGACGGUGCUGCUAGGCCGCGGCCCAGAGGAGCCAUUGAUGGAGCCUUGCCUCACGCUGCAGCAAGGCGUCUUCAAUCAAUGCGACUGGCCCACUCUCUCUGUAUGUGUAUGUGUCUGUUUGCCGCCGGAGCCUGAAGGGGGGCUGCUGAUGGCGGCGGCGGUGGUGAUGGUGGUGGUGAUGAUGAUGAUGCGAUGGCAGUGGCGCUGCCCACGUGGUUUCUGGCUUAGCUCCCCGCGUUUACUGAAAGACUCUCUUCGGUGACGGGUAUUCUUGGGUGGAUAAUACGGAUCACGUUGUUAUUGCUUAAGAAUACGCGUAGUCGAGGAGAGUCCUCUCUUCGCCCAACACCAGCAACACCCCCCAUCCCCCGACACCCACCCACCUCACCUCACCUCACCCCUGACUACCCACCCACCCACGGAGGACUGUCAGGACUGUCUCCACCUAUCCAAAAAAGAAACACCCCGCCUCUUCUUUGUCCUGUACUGCAUUGCACUGUUGUUUUUUCCCUUCUGCCCACUUCCUAUCUGCCGAGCCAUGGUUCGAGGUCGAUAGUGUCCUCACGUCUAUCCCACCAUGCAUCCUGUCAAUCUGUCUCUGUCUCCGUGGCGAUGGGCAACGCAGUGUGUGUGUUUUGUUUCCGUCUGUGUGUCUGUCGGAGUUGUUGCUUCUCGAUUGUUCGGUGUCGCAGAGAAAAAAAACGUGUCUUCGUCUCGUCUGACAACAACUUCUGAUAACUCUCACUGCAUGAGCGGUGCCUGUUCCCAUAAUGCAAGGCCAGCAUGGCAGCCUGCACACUAACACCAACACGUAUAAUUACAAUAGGAGGGUCAGGGUUUAUUAGUGGUUUUGCAGAUACGGGGUCAGUAAAUGACAAAUCAUAUGAAAGCGGCACAAUUUUAUUUGUAAACCAAAGAUGUAAACAAUACACAAUGCUAAUUUCAGUGCUCUGAUCACCAGUGACCAGUUGACCAGUAUGGCCGGAUAAACCUACUACAGGGCCUUGGGGCAAUAAUAAGCAAGUAGACCCCCAUUAACCCCCCUCUCCACUCAUCCUCUGAAAUGGGUGGUCAUUUGAUUAACCCAUUAAUGUCCACAGUGGAAUUUUAUAAUUUCACUGCACUUAAAUUACUAGCUGAGUCAAGCACAAAUCCAGUUACAUUUUUAAAAUUGGUUAAAUUAUUAUAAUUUUCUUUCCCCAGGAAAGGUUAAGAAUUUCAAAAAUUCAUAAUUUUUGAUUCACACAUAGUCUGGACUGUUAUAAUAUAGGUUAAAAAGAAAAAUGAUAAUAUUUUGCUUUUUCUUGGUCCAUUGUUGCCAUUGUGCAGAAAUGUUAUAAUGUAUUCGUAUGGGAUAAAAUGAGUAACUCCUAAUGACUAAUAACUAAAUAUAUUAUGAUGCAGAAAUGGCUGUAUUAUAUGAUGUUUUAUCAAAUGCUUGGCCCCAUUGAAUUUGGAACAACUUCAAUAAUUCAAUAUGUGCUUUGAUCCAGUGUAAAUCUGAUCUUUAACAUGUCAAAUUUAUGUUUUUUAUGUUUUUUUUUUUAAAAGGAAAAUCAACUUAUCUACCAAAUAAGGCCUGGUACAUAUGUUCAAUCAAACAUUUUGAUUUUGUCAUGUGUUGGCAUUUGUUGACAGUUUCCACAGCAGAUUUUGGGUUUCAACCUCGAACAGAAAACAAUACAUGGGACUUUUUCUUAACAUACUAAAUAUAGACGUUAGUCGUUAAUGGGUUUUGGAACAUGCAAAAUGUAAACGCAAAACUAAAAUUAGUGAAAGUCAAGAGACUAGAUUUUGAUAUAGACCCUCUUCAAGACAGGGGCCUCAGGAUUAGGAAAUAAAGCUGGACCCACUUUGAGGGCCCUAUUAUCAGUUGAUUUUGCACAAAUUGAAUGAGCACAAACCAGUUCACAUACAGCUCCAGGGGCCGCUUUGUUAUCAGUAAUCCAGCCUUGCUGGCCAAGUACAGUUAAUCAUAUAUUCUAUAAAACAUCAGAAGAAAGUGAAAAUACCUGAACAAUCAAAAACCCCUAAAUAUUAACCACUAGAUGUUUAGCAUUUUUGCUGGAUUAAUGACAUAAAUUGACUUUGACUGAAUUGAUUACCUAAAUCACUGUUCAAAUCAAUUAUUGACUGACUGUUCCAGUUCUAAUCAUCGUCUGUGAUGAAAAAGGUUCUCGACUAGUAACCCUUUUAUUUUGGGUUUGUCAUUUUCGGGCCUGUGCGUUAAAGAAAGGACAUAAAAGAUAAAGUUUUGCUUUCGUUCGUUUAGGCCCUGCUAAUAGUCUAAAAGCUGUGUAAGACCUCAUCAUAAUGAAAAUAUUAGUAUAUAGUAGUAGUAUAUAUAUAGUAUAGAAUAUAAGUAUUUUACUUUACUAAUAAGUCAAAUUAAGCCUGUAAUAUUUGAUGAGGUCUGAGCAGACAGUAUUUCAUCUGGUUGUGCUUAUAGAGUGGAACCUAUUCUCCAUGUAGUGCGUUUAUUAUGGGGCUGAGCCGAGCUGCCUCUCACAUUCCCCCCCUUUAUGCCCCUUUUUUAUGCAAAUGGUUGCUCAAAUGACAUUUAUCGCAGUGAGGUUUACACCACAUGUAAUGCUGCUGCUGCCGCUGAGCCUCACACACACACACACACACACACACACACACACACACACCGAGAAAACAAAAUGUCCACCACGAGCGGUCGACAGCUCAACUUAUGCAACGAGGAGAGAGGCGUCUAGAUAAACAAUUACCCCUGGCUCAAACGCUCUAUAACCACCUUUCCCGUGAUGCGCCAUGAAUAUGGAUUCCCUCUCCAUGUCUGAUGGCACAUUCUGAACCUUAACACCCAUGUAAAAUCCAUUUAAACACCUAAUAGGAUCAACUUGACUCAUACAGCCACGUCCUCACGCAUGUCACCUCCCGUGAUCAUUCGCUGGAGAUUUCCUCGUUGUGUCAGGGCUAGUGUAAAUCACUUCUUUUACACGCCUUCCUCCUAGCUCGUAUGGAAUAUCAAAUGAGUCCCGGCUGUUUUCGAAUAUUCUCAGGCAUUUUAAAGUUAGCCGCAGAGUCAGUCAGACACGAUUGUAAUUAUACAAAUCAUCCCGGUCAUUACCAUUGCAGAUUAUUCAAAUAAUACAAUUAUAUGUUUAACACUUGGCUCGGUUGAUAAUUACCGUUCCUUUUCUGGUGGAAACAAACAAAGCGACAUGCUAAAAUCUGUGUAGGAGGAUGUAAAGUAGAGUGGCGUAAAUAAAUAAAAAUCACACACACACACAUCGUUUCCCUCCCCUGUAUUUGAGUGUUGAUUGUCGGGGACAGAGCAGAGUGGACGUCCAAUCGCUGUCUGUUUUCUGUGCGUCCGUGUGUCUCUUGGUUGCUUGUUGUUACUGCUACUGCUGCAGGGCCUCUGCUGGCUGCUGCCAUGUGAUCCAGUCAUUUUACAUCAUGUGAACACUUUAUACUCACUUCUGCUGAUACACUGUAGGCCUCUAGUGAUUUAUUAGCUGUAAAAACUGGCGACAUUUGUCCACUAACUUAACUCCACCUUAAUGAAUACACUAUUAAUUGAAUAUGAUUUCAAAACCAGAUUCUUGUCACAUUUAUCGACUUCCAAUGCUUAACUGAUGCGAUAAUAACUGCUUACAAAAAGGCUCGUCAGUGACAAUGAUGUGGUAUAAAGUGCUGUCUUAGUGUCAUUCUGUGUGUGUGCCAGCCUGUAUUUGGAUUGUCUCUACUUGUUUUCCAAGAGCUGCCAUGCCGUAAAACACAUUGUUGACGCGUGACAUCAAAAUGCAAUGGACGAUUUCUUUUUGAAUUUGAUUUAAUGAAUUUAAAGCAUCAUUGUAACAGCUGCUGAUGGCACUGGGAUGUCUAAACUGCUAGUGAUCUAAUGUGAACGCCAUCUCUGCACACGUCUAUCUCUGCAGUCAAAGAGCUGUUGUGGUUGUGCACUAAUGUAUGCUGCUCUGUACUAAUGGCAUGCUGCUGCUGCUGCUGCUGCUGAUGAUUGUUUUAAAGCUAACCAGAGACGAACGCUGCAUGCAUUUCAAUCAUUCAACAACAGCAGUGAUGAUGAGAAUGUCAUUUUCCCCCUGUAAGUGUGCCUUAUUUCUGUCAAUAAAAUGUGGCUGUAAACAUAAAUAAACCCCUCUUUUGAAAUUGAAA